rnacentral:rRNA from 1 species
AACGUAGGAGACGAGCGUUAUCCGGAUUUACUGGGCGUAAAGCGUGAGCAGGCGGUUCGGCAAGUUGGAUGUGAAAUCUCCCGGCUCAACUGGGAGGGGUCGUUCAAUACUACCGAACUUGAGGUCAUCAGAGGAAGGUGGAAUUCCGGGUGUAGUGGUGAAAUGCGUAGAUAUCCGGAGGAACACCAGUGGCGAAGGCGGCCUUCUGGGAUGAUCCUGACGCUCAGACACGAAAGCUAGGGGAGCGAACGGG